rnacentral:rRNA from 1 species
GAAACCGGAGGAAGGUGGGGAUGAACGUCAAGUCCUCAUCGGCCUUUAUGACCGAGGGCUACACACGUACUACAAUGGUUGGUACAACGAGUUGCGAGUCGGUGACGGCGAGCUAAUCUCUUAAAGCCAAUCUCAGUUCGGAUUGUAGGCUGCAACUCGCCUACAUGAAGUCGGAAUCGCUAGUAAUCGCGGAUCAGCACGCCGCGGUGAAUACGUUCCCGGGCCUU